rfam:Felis catus isolate Cinnamon breed Abyssinian chromosome F2, whole genome shotgun sequence.
GCCUGGGUGGCUCAGUCAGUUGAGCAUCCGACUUCGGCUCAGGUCACGAUUUCACAGUUUGUGGGUUCGAGCCCCACAUCGGGCU